UUACUUAUCUGGCAGAGGAGAUACCAUGAUUACCAAGGUGGUUUUCCCAGGGAAAGGCUUAUUCAUUUCAUUCUGGAGGUGCUGACCCCUAUGAUUUCCCCAAAUGUGGUAAACUCAACUUAUAAUUUGUGAUAGUGGGGGACUGCGUUCACGCUCUCCCAUG
ensembl:snRNA U1 U1 spliceosomal RNA